rnacentral:lncRNA from 1 species
CUAGAUAUAAUCACAUAUUCUAUUAAUCCACAUUUAUUAAGUAUAUAUAGCUUUAAUCCCUUUAGAGUUUUGAAGCAAGAACAUUUUGCUCCAAAAGUACUUGAAGCCUUCAAGUCUUUUUUAGAUCAACUAAGGACCAAGGAAGCUGUUCUCUGAUAUAAUAAUGAGGGAAGAACAUUGACUUCCUUGCUUUCCAGUUGUCUUCCUGAAGGAUGCCCCAGGAACCCUGAAGAAUGAAUCAAAACAUGCUUUCAGAUGCCUGUCGGUUGACUCCAGCUGAAUAGACUUCAUGGAAUAGUCCACAAGAUAGGAGGAUGGAAAAUAGUGCAGAAGCAAGACGGAUGGAGAAAACAGGAGCCAUGGCUCCUUAUACACUAGGUGGAGCAAGCGGGAGUCUUGGCCAGGCUGUAGGUGGUUACAGCCUCGCUUGAGGGGCAAGCAACUCCAAAUAGUCUACAUUCACUGCAAUGUCUUCGAAGAAUUUGCAUCUGCAUGGUCAAUGCUGUAAAAUACAUUGAGUUUACAGUCACGCCCUGACUCCUGGGAGAUAAAAUCUCUGUAUUUAAAAUGACAGCCCUGACUCAGAUUAGCCCUGAGCUAACUACUGCCAACCCUCCUCUUUUUGCUGAGGAAGACUGGCCCUGAGCUAACAUCCAUGCCCAUCUUCCUCUACUUUAUACAUGGGACUCCUACAGCAGCAUGGGUUUUGUCCAAGUGGUGCCGUGUCCACACCCAGGAUCUGAACCGGUGAACCCCAGGCCGCCCAGAAGCGGAACAUGCGAACUUAAUCACUUCGCCACCAGGACAGCCCAGCCCAGCCAAAAUUUAAUAUUGAUAGUCUUUUUGCUUUUAGCCAUUUGGGAAGAUAUGCACUGGCAUCUGAAAGUGUUUAUAAUUUGCAUUUCUUUCAGUUUCUUUUCAUACGUUUAUUGCCUAUUUGGAUUUCCUCUUUUUCCAAGGGACCAUUGAAAUCUCUUUCCCAUUUUUCUUAAUGACUGUGUUUUUCUUGUUGAUUAGAAAUAGUUCUUUAUAUAUUCUGGAUACAAGGCCUUUGUCAGUUAUUGAAUUAAAAUAUCACUUCCACUCUGUAGCUUGUCUUUUUAGUCUCUUU